rnacentral:rRNA from 1 species
UGGGGAAUAUUGGACAAUGGGGGGAACCCUGAUCCAGCCAUUCCGCGUGUGUGAAGAAGGCCUUAUGGUUGUAAAGCACUUUAAGCGAGGAGGAGGGUACUGGUAUUAAUACUACCAGCUACUGGACGUUACUCGCAGAAUAAGCACCGGCUAACUCUGUGCCAGCAGCCGCGGUAAUACAGAGGGUGCGAGCGUUAAUCGGAUUUACUGGGCGUAAAGCGUGCGUAGGCGGCUAAUUGAGUCGGAUGUGAAAUCCCCGAGCUUAACUUGGGAAUUGCAUUCGAUACUGGUUAGCUAGAGUGUGGGAGAGGAUGGUAGAAUUCCAGGUGUAGCGGUGAAAUGCGUAGAGAUCUGGAGGAAUACCGAUGGCGAAGGAAGCCAUCUGGAAUAACACUGACGCUGAGGUACGAAAGCAUGGGGAGCAAACAGG